rnacentral:rRNA from 1 species
AACGGCUUUACCAUGCUGAAUAUACCGGUUCUCGUUAGAUCACCGAAGUCAAGCAUCAUUGGGCGCGGUCAGUACUUGGGUGGGUGACCACCUGGGAACACCGCGUGCCGUU